UGGGGAAUAUUGCACAAUGGAGGGAACUCUGAUGCAGCGACGCCGCGUGAGUGAUGAAGGAAUUCGUUUCGUAAAACUCUUUUCUCUGGGAAGAAAAGGACUGUACCAUAGGAGAAAGCUCCGGCUAAAUACGUGCCAGCAGCCGCGGUAAUACGUAUGGAGCGAGCGUUGUCCGGAAUUAUUGGGCGUAAAGGGUGCGCAGGCGGCUUUACAAGUUGGAUGUGAAAUAUUGUGGCUCAACCACAGACGUGCAUCCAAAACUGCAAAGCUUGAGUGAAGGGGAGGUAAGUGGAAUUCCGGGUGUAGCGGUGGAAUGCGUAGAUAUCAGGAGGAAUACCGGUGGCGAAGGCGGCUUACUGGACUUAAACUGACGCUCAGGCACGAAAGCGUGGGGAGCAAACAGG
rnacentral:rRNA from 1 species